rnacentral:rRNA from 1 species
UUUUCCUACGGGACGCAGCAGUGGGGAAUAUUGCACAAUGGGGGAAACCCUGAUGCAGCGACGCCGCGUGAGUGAAGAAAUAUCUCGGUAUGUAAAGCUCUAUCAGCAGGGAAGAAAAUGACGGUACCUGAGUAAGAAGCCCCGGCUAACUACGUGCCAGCAGCCGCGGUAAUACGUAGGGGGCAAGCGUUAUCCGGAUUUACUGGGUGUAAAGGGAGCGUAGACGGCAGUGCAAGUCUGGAGUGAAAGGCGGGGGCUCAACCCCCGGACUGCUCUGGAAACUGUACGGCUGGAGUGCAGGGGAG